rnacentral:rRNA from 1 species
GAUGAACGCUGGCGGCGUGCCUAAUACAUGCAAGUCGAACGGACGGACGAGGAGCUUGCUUCUCUGACGUAAGCGGGGGACGGGUGUGAGACACGUGGGUGAAAUAGCUAUAUGAAGGGGGUAACCUCGGGAAACCGGUGCUAAUAACGGAUAAUAUUCUCAACAGCAUGGUGGAGAAGUGUAGGACGGCUUGGCAGUGAAUUAGAGCAGAAGCCGCGUUGCAUUAGCUAGUUGGUAGGGUAACGGCUUACCUAGGCAACGAUGCCUAGCUGACCUGAGAGGGUGAUCGGCCACACUGGAACUGAGCCACGGUCCAGACUCCUACGGGAGGCAGCAGUAGGGAAUCUUGCGCAAUGGGCGAAAGCCUGAUGCAGCCACGCCGCGUGUAUGAUGAAGGCCUUCGGGUCGUAAAGUUCUGUUAUUGGGGAGGAACAGAGUUGUAUUAAUCUGUUCACUUCUUGACGUUACCUAAUCAGAAAGCCACGGCUAACUACGUG